rnacentral:siRNA from 1 species
GUUUUACUGGUGCCACCUGUCAAA